GUGACGUCUGCUGUGUGUACGCUUGACACUUUUAUUAUAUUUUUUCUCUACUUUUUUAUACUUUUUUAUAUAACAUAAUGUCACCAUCGUGCAAUAUUUCCCAUAUUUUUUAUUACCGAGAAAGCGUCAUUAGUCCUUUUUGAGAGAAUCACCCAAAUAAAUUUUCUAAAGCAGGAAACUAAAAUGGAAGAUUUGUUUUGAAAAGUGACUUUAGCAGGAGCUUGAAAUUUGAAGAAGGUUACCAUGUCGAACAUAAAAGAGUAUUUUAUUUUAAGUAAUAAAGAUUUUUAAAUUAUUGAAUAUGUAAAUGAAAUUCUAAAUUAUAUGCAUAUGUAUAAAUUUUAAAAA